UUGUACGGUGACAUCACAAGGACAGUAUUGCUGGUACGGUGACAUCACAAGGAUAUUAUUGCUGGUACCGUGACAUCCCAGGGACAGUAUUGCUGGUACGGUGACCAUCAUUUUAGGUUGAAGCUUGGAUCCCAACAUCUCUGCAUGAGUUCAUAACUUAGGGUCAUUCAUAGCAGAGACGGCAAUGGUUGGACCCGUCGGUACCCAGUGAUGGGCGAAAGAUGAAAAGCGGUUCCCUCUGGACAUCAGAGCAUUUGCUUCCUCUGUUUGUGUUGGGAGGGAGCGCGGAUGCCAGGGGAUUGGGUCGGUGCGGGGAAGCAGGAAUUUCCUUAUUAAAAAAUGCUUCUGUGUC